rnacentral:rRNA from 1 species
AUUGAACGCUGGCGGCACGCCUAACACAUGCAAGUCGAGCGGCAGCAUGCUUAGUAGCAAUACUAAGUGAUGGCGAGCGGCGGACGGGUGAGGAACACGUAGGAACCUGCCCAAGAAAGGGGGAUAACUAAGGGAAACUUUAGCUAAUACCGCAUAAUCUCUGAGGAGAAAAGCUGCCCGUAAGGGUAGCGCUUUUGGAGGGGCCUGCGUCCGAUUAGCUAGUUGGUGAGGUAAAAGCUCACCAAGGCGAUGAUCGGUAACUGGUCUGAGAGGACGACCAGUCACACUAGGACUGAGACACGGCCCAGACUCCUACGGGAGGCAGCAGUGGGGAAUCUUGGACAAUGGGGGCAACCCUGAUCCAGCGAUGCCGCGUGGGUGAAGAAGGCCUUCGGGUUGUAAAGCCCUUUAGGCUGGGAAGAAGUGUGCGGGAUGAAUAAUCCUGUACAUUGACGGUACCAGCAGAAUAAGCACCGGCAAACUCUGUGCCAGCCGCCGCCGUAA